AGUGAACGCUGGCGGUAGGCCUAACACAUGCAAGUCGAACGGCAGCACAGUAAGAGCUUGCUCUUACGGGUGGCGAGUGGCGGACGGGUGAGGAAUACAUCGGAAUCUACUUUUUCGUGGGGGAUAACGUAGGGAAACUUACGCUAAUACCGCAUACGACCUACGGGUGAAAGCAGGGGAUCUUCGGACCUUGCGCGAUUGAAUGAGCCGAUGUCGGAUUAGCUAGUUGGCGGGGUAAAGGCCCACCAAGGCGACGAUCCGUAGCUGGUCUGAGAGGAUGAUCAGCCACACUGGAACUGAGACACGGUCCAGACUCCUACGGGGGGCACCAGUGGGGAAUAUUGGACAAUGGGCGCAAGCCUGAUCCAGCCAUACCGCGUGGGUGAAGAAGGCCUUCGGGUUGUAAAGCCCUUUUGUUGGGAAAGAAAAGCAGCAGGUUAAUACCCCGCUGUUCUGACGGUACCCAAAGAAUAAGCACCGGCUAACUUCGUG
rnacentral:rRNA from 1 species